rnacentral:rRNA from 1 species
UACGGAGGGUGCAAACGUUGCUCGGAAUCAUUGGGCGUAAAGCGCACGUAGGCGGACUGUUAAGUCGGAUGUGAAAUCCCUCAGCUUAACUGAGGAAGUGCAUUCGAAACUGGCAGUCUUGAGUAUGGAAGAGGGUCGCGGAAUUCCCGGUGUAGAGGUGAGAUUCGUAGAUAUCGGGAGGAACACCAGUGGCGAAGGCGGCGACCUGGGCCAAUACUGACGCUGAGGUGCGAAAGCGUGGGGAGCAAACAGG